rnacentral:rRNA from 1 species
GAUGAACGCUGGCGGCGUGCUUAACACAUGCAAGUCGAACGGUGAAGCCAAGCUUGCUUGGUGUUUCAGUGGCGAACGGGUGAGUAACACGUGAGCACCCUGCCCUGUACUCUUGGAUAAGCGCUGGAAACGGCGUCUAUUACUGGAUAUGAGCUUCUUCCUCCUGGUGGGGGCUGGAAAGAUUCUGUGGUAUGGGAUGGGCUCGCGGCCUAUCAGCUUGUAGGGGGGGUAAUGGUACACCAACGCAUAGACGGCUAUCCGGCAUGGGAGGGUGACCAGCGUCACUGGGCCUGCGGGACGGCGCAGUCGGCUACGGUAGGCAGCAGUGGGGAGCAUUAUACAGUGAGCGCGAGUGUGAGACAACGGCGCUCCGUUAGGGAAGACCGCCUUCUGGUUAUGAACCUCAUUUAGCAAAGAAGAAGCGGUAGUGACGGUACCUACAGAAAAAGCGCCGGCUAACUACGUG